CCCCAGCAACACCAGGCACAGCCUUAGCUUUUCUCUUUGCUGCUUCUGUCCAUGGGUGAAGAAAAGCCAUGUUUUCCCUCCUCGGCAAGGCUUGGCUCCUGGUUUUUCUCCCUAUCCUGUUCCUUUCAGCUCUGGCGUCUCCAUGCUGACCACGUUGACCGUCACCAGCCAGCACCCCCUCCCCUAGGUUUCAGCGUGUGAGAGCCUGGGGGCUGGAGAGCUGGGCUGAGGCAGCCAGCACACAACGGCCAACAGCUGACCUCAGCCACUGGCGGCCAGCUAACUGCGUGCUUCUGCUCCAACAACCCACACGACCUGGUUUUACACUAGAAGAUUCUCAAGCUCAGCUCUUAUGCCUGAAAACAGAGACAGUGUGGGGACAGCUUGCGACAAGUCUCAUCUUGUCAGAGUGGAGCUGACGAUGUUGGCAGUGUCCAGUGGCCUCGAAUCUACAGCAUGACUGGAGGCCCUGGGGCCUAACACUGGCAGCUAGGAGCUGUGGUGGAACUGGAGCCCGUGGCAGAGAGAGGAGAGGAGAGGAGCCAGAGUUCUGGGAGCAGAAACACCAGGAAGGAAGAAGAGCGCACGCUGGACCGCACGGCUGCUAGCCAAGAAGGGUUGGGGCAGCCUGGAAGUGGUUCUUGGAACAGGACGAGAAAACAACACCUUGAAAACCCAGUGCUAAGGAUUCAAAGGCUGCCGAGAUGGUGAUGGAAGAGAGCUGGCCCUGAAGACAAGAGGAGUUUGCUGGAAAUGAGCUGCUGAAUAAUUUAUCAUGAAUUGAAAAGUCAAGGCCUUAAGUGAGGCAUGGUGAAACCAGAGGACUCAGAGGUAAACACGGCGAGGAUAUAAGUUUUGAGAGAACAUUAUCAAGAGGAACGACUAGCUGGAAGGAAGAGGAGGCAGAAAGCCCCCAGUUGAGGGUGGGCUGAGUUGGACGGGGGCUGCGGGUGGGGACAGAGCCCAGAAGAGGCAGCAGAGCAGACCUUGCCUUUGAGGCCCUGUGUCUCGGCCGAAGGUAAGGAGAAGCUUGGAAAGAGAUGGUGAAUUGUUAGGAACAAAAUGAGGGUUGCUGAGUAGGAGUCAUGAGAAAACCAGACCAGUGAGUCCAGGAAGGCUUCCUGGAGGAGGCUGGAACCAGGCCUGGAAGGGGAAUUUCAUCAGAUGAGCUGUGAAGGUGCAGUGGGAGAGAAGCUGAAGAAACUGGUGUUAGGCGCAGGCUGAAGAACACCAUGUGGAAGCAGGGGGAGCCCCUGCAGAUUCUUUGACAGGAACUUGACAUUCGUUCAUUCACUCAUUCGUUCAGCAAAUACUCAUUGUGUCACUGAGUAGCUGUGUUCCACUAGCACUGUGUGCUAGUGCUUCCCACCAGACAGGCAAAGGCCCUGUCUCAUAGGACUCACGUUCCAGUGAGGGAGACAGAAAAAUCAAAGCAGCAAUCACAUUUGUGGUGCCAAGGGUUCUAGGUGCCGUCUCAGUUUCUGUCGUGGCAUUAAGAGGUAGCUGAAAUAAUUAUCUCCGUUCUACAGAUAGAGACGUGGAGUGAUUUGGCCAAGGUGACUCAGCUAGUUGGUGGUGGAGUCCAAGUCCGUCAUGCUACUCUGCGUUAUGAUUGGGAGCUAAAUGCUUGGACGGGGAAGUAUGUGGGGCCACAGGCCAGUGUUGGACAUGGGACUCUGUUCAGCGGGCCAGGGAGGCUUCCUAGAGGAAUCUUUGAGCUGGGGUGGAGACAUGUGGGGUAAGGCUGGGGACUGAUGAGUGGAAGAUCAGAGAGGCCAUUUUCACAGGACAGUGGAGGCCUGUGAAGGAGGACGGACCCUUCCUGUGGGGAUGAGAAGCUACCAAAGGCUCCUAUGGGGGAGAAAGGUGGAAGGUAUUGUGUGUGUGACAGAGUCAAUUCUGCAUUUUUAAAGGAUCACUUCCUCUGCUAUGUGGAGAAUUGAUUGGUAGGAACAAGAUCAAGCUGCUGGAACAGGGUGGAUGUUGAGAGGCAGGAAACAAAUGAACCAAUAAAUGUGUCAGCACCUCGAAUACUUUGUUCCCAGAAGGGUCCCUCAGCCCUUCUCUCAAAGUCUCUCUUUUCAUUUACAUCUGACUCUAAUAAUUCAGCUGUUUGUUUUCCUCAUUCAUACAGGUUAAGAGUAACAAUUUAGGAAAAGAUUGGGGAAUGCAGUGGGUAUUCAAGAGGGAAAAGAACAUUGGCAAUUGUGAAAAGUGACAGCUUGAUUGUAAGGAAAGACACACACAAAAAAACCAUUAUACAUAUUCAGACAAACAAAUGAAUAAACAAACUCGCAUUGUCCAGCAGGAUGGGACUAUUCAGUGGAAAGACAAACAACCCUGCCCCAGUGGCAUCCUCCCCUUCCACGCAAAUAUUUGAUAUCUCAAGUGGUUAACUUGAGUCAAUAACAAUGUGGGACAGCCACUAACCUUUAUUUUUUUAAGCCAGGAAAGGAGAGUGACCCAAUAUUCUCAGCAGCACUUCCAGUUGCUGGCCACAGCUCAAGAUCACGGUGGGAAGCCUGGAGCCUGGUGUUCCUGUCUGUCUCCAAGGACAGCUCCAUGCCUCUGCCUGUGUGACAGUGGCCAUGCUCGGGCUGCUGAAGCAGAGGUGCUAGAGCUUGGUCACAGCCUCUAGCUUGCCAUCAAGGAACCGUGGAAGAACAGGAGUUGAAGCAAGAUGAUCACAGCAGCCAUGGAGACCAUAGGCCUCCUCCAGAAGCGGGGACAAAAUAUUUUCUAGAUGUCUGAAGGCUUUCAGGGAUUUGGGAAGGUCAUGGCUACUAAGCAUUUUCCUUAGAGAUGUAUGGGUAUACGUAAUCACUCAUUAUCUGGACUCUCAGAUACUGCCAGCUUGACUGGCGCAGCCUCUCACUUGGCCUCUUCAUUCUGUCAUUGUGGCUGUGGCCUGAGCCACAGUGUGGGAGUGUGGGAGGCGCUCUCUUCCAUAAGGAUGUAGGUUAGCCCUUCUCUGUCUCGGAUUCAUGUCCUCUGUGCUGUGUGCUCAGACACACAUGCCCUAUCCAUCAUCCCAAAGCUAAGACUCCCAACCUUUCUGGGUUGGUGGUAUAGAACACCAGCCCUAUAUCACACCUGCUUACUUUGAUUACCUUUCCAGGGUAGUUAGAAGUACACCAGGGAGCUGGGCUGAUGGAGACUCCCUGGAAAUUUCUAUUUCCGUAUCUUUUAUUGUUGUUAGUAUAGUAAAGAGACUAAAAAGUGGAGGUUUUCUGUGAUUUUUCACCCCUAGAGGGCUGAAAUUGGAAAACGUAUUGUCUGAAAAGUGAGCAGACCCUUGGGCUUUGAUUCUGUAAGGAUUUAGACUUAUUGCCUCCUUCAACCAUCCUGUAUUAUCUGUUUCCAUGAUUUCCCCUAGAACUUCAGAUUCCAUCUAGAAGACAAGUAGGAAAAAAUCUCCGAUAGAAGAUGGUUGAGUGAUAGGUCUGAGAGGCCAGCUGGGCCCCCAGCCUUUUACACAGUUACGAGGUUUCAUUUGGGAACUGGAAUCCAACUGGAACAGCUGGAGCUGUUGUGUCUCCUGCACAAUUUUUGCUAGCUUGAGUUUUAAGUAUAUUUGUUGUCACUAUGAUAAAUAUAAACUUUUCUCAUUGUUUUCAAAAUGUUUACUAGGGUAUAUUAAAGCAAUUGGCUCUUUGUUUAUUAAUCACAUAUCCAGUAACUUGUUAAAUGACCUCAUUGAUUAUAAUAAAUUGGCACAUAUUUGGAGUUCUUUAUGUAUAUAAUAAUGUCAUCGGAGAAGAUUGUUAGCCAGUUAGUAGUCCAGGUACGAGAUGAAGGAAGAGUCAUGGUGGAAGACAAGGAGAAGGUGGUUAGAUUUGUGACACAGGUAAUUAGUAGUUACAGUCAUAUAGCUGGAUCAUGAAGGGCAUGAGGAGCAAAGGAGAGAGAACUGUCGAGGAUAGCUCCUGAGCUUCUGGUGUGCACAAAUGAAUGGAUGUUGUCACUUACUGAGAUGAGGAACACUGAAAUAGAGCCAGAUUUUGGAGAGGAGGGAGAAGGGGAAGCUCAUGGGUUCAAUUUUUCAUUUUGUUUUAAGAUGCUUUUAAGUUCUAUAAAGAGGAUUGUGAGCGGGCAAUUGGGAAUAGUCAUCUGGAGCUUGGAGGAGAGAGCUGGCUGGAAUCAUAUGUCUAAAGAGAGUAGUUGAUGGCUGAGUAUAGAUGAGAUGGGCUAGGGCUGGAGAGAAGAGAGUAAGAGGAGAGAGAUGUGGAUGGAAUCUUGAGGAGCUACACCAUUUAAUGGCCAGGUGGAAGAGGAUAAGGUGGCCGUGGGGAGGGGGAAGAGGAAGUCUUGCUGAGCAUGGUUGUCUUGGAAGCUAAGAGAACGGGACUUUUUUUUAAGAAAGAAGAGAAAGUUAACCUUCAAAGAAUGUGCAAGUUUGAAGAUGAGGAUUGAGAAAUGUCAUUGGAUUCAACCGUGUUGUGAUAACUGGCAACAUCAGUGCUAUAUUGGAGGUGAUUAUCAUUGUUAAAGAGUGAAGGGAAAGCGAGCAUUUCUUGGUAAUUUAUUGGAAAAUAAAUAAAUCUGUAUUAUUGUAUUUUGGUUUUAGAAUGCAAUAUAACAAAUAAGAAUGUUACCAAGGAUUACAAAAGUAGACUUUAUUAAGGAGCAGUCUUGAAAUUCUGGACCUACUUAUUCAGCAGUUGCUGGAGACCUUGCAAUAAAGCUAGAUGGGAUGGCCAGGCAUUUUCAAUGUCUGUCCAGUUACCUGGGGACAGGGGAUCUUAACCCUACUCUUGAGUGUGUCAGCUCCUUCAUUGUGUUUACAGAUGCCGAUGCACAGUGGACCAUUGUUAAUACCUAGUCACCUUGGAUUUGGGCUCUGAUAGUAAAGUGAUUAUAUUGGCAUCUGUAAAUACAUUCUGCCACAUCCGCCUGUCCAUUGGCACCUGCUGAGGCUAUUUUAUCUGGAAUCAUUCAUUUGAGUACUUUGUACUUUUGUGCAUCUGCCGUUUGUCUUGGAACCAAGUUUAUACAAGUCCUUUGAUGACAAAUUCCACAGCUCUUUGAGGAGGGGCUCUGGCCCUGCUGCAGUUGCAAGCUGUCCCAGGCUCUGGUCUUUGGCUCUGUCAGGGGAAGCAGAUUGCUGACUACCUCCCAGCUGCUUCUUGCCACUUGCAAUUUGUGCUUUCUACAGAAAUCACUCUGUUCUGAACAAGCCAGUCACCUCGCUGUUGUGAGAAGUUUGUGUGUCUGCUGAAUAUUUUAUUUACCAUCUGGCUGGCAGCAAAGCCUAGAAUACGCCUGUGGGGCUGUAAUGUCCCAGACCAUUGAAUACCCAUCCUAAAAAGGUCACUACUUCUUUUUUGCCCUCAGGCACCAGUCUUCCUCACAGAAGGCCUUUACUAGUUUGAGACUGUGAGAAUGAGGGAUUUGGGUGAAAAGCAGUGAACACAGUUUUUGUUUUUUGCGGGGGGCAUUAAGGUGGCCACCAUGCAUUUCUCCACCAAGCUUCUUGUCUCCCUACCUUCCUGCAGCCUACACAGGGGCUUGCAUGGAAGCACUUUUCGCACAGGGAAUCUGUGACUCUCUGACUGCUGUCAAAGGAGCUCUAGAUGUGAUGUCCCUCUGCUCUGCUCUAUCAACCAGAUCCUUACCUUUGAGAGGGGGAAUUAAGGAUAUUUUCUUUGUUCAAAGGACAACAUCCAAUUAGCGAUCGAAAGCUCUUCUCAGUCCAACAAUCUGUUUGCAGAUGUAAAUACUUCUAAACUGUCUCUCACUUUUGAGUAUUAAUCAGACAGCGACCCCUUCCUUGAAGACAGAUGUCCCAUAGCUGUUAGUUACUCAGCUGGGAGGUGGGAUGGAAAGAAUGCUAGAUUGGAGUCAGAGCCUUUUACAAUUUUUACUCUUUAAUGUUUGGCAUUUGAUGCAGUUCUCUCAUCUAUAAAGUGAGUAUAAUGGUAACUUACCUGUGGAGCUCUUGUGAAAAUCAAGACAAGACAUAUGUGGAUAGUGCUUCAUGGAUUGAUCAGUGCUCGUAUACCCGACCUGCCCUAGUGAUCUGGGUGGUCAGAUGAGGCAUGUGACUAUUUUGUGUAGUUCCACUCAUUUCUACUCAUGUAAAUUGUAUGGAAAAGUGAUACUCAUCCUUUCACAUAGAAAAAUUAAAAGUAUACAUUUAGUCCUUGGGUUGCAUAUGUAUACUAUAUAAUAUGCAUAGUUAUGAACAGGGAAUGAAAUAUCAUGAUUUGUUAUUUAAAUAAACGUGGUAAGUAACAUCAAAACUAACAUCUAUGGGAUACUUACCACAGCUGAGUGCCAAGCUUCACAAAUAUUAUUUCAUUUAAUGCUUACAGUAACCACAUUAGAUACACUUUACAGAUGAGGAAAUUGAAAUGCAAGAACAUAAGUAACUUCCCCAUGUUCACAAGUAGUAAAUGGUAGAAUCAGAAUUCAAACCCAAGUCUGUUUGGUUACAUGUAUGUGAUAACUGUCCUCUAUUGCUUUCUUGGUCAACACAUUUCAUUUCCUACUGUGCACCCCUUUGAAGAACAGGAAGCCCAAACUUUCAUAAAAUCUCUCACUGCAUGUGUAAAAGCAGACAACUCUAUAAAAAUGCUAUGUAAAAGACACAAAAUAAAGAAACGGUUCUGAGUGAGUGAAAGAGUGGUGGUUGAUAACAUCCCUGCUCUCACUAUGUGGUGAAAGUGAUUAUAUACCUUAAUGACUUUUUAUUUUUCAAAAGGAAACAUCCUCAUAGGUAGCAUAAAGAGCUCAAGAAUCUUGUAUGUGCAUGUGUUUAUAUAAGCAUGUGUAUGUAUGUAUGUGUGCAUGCAUGCACACAUAUUUGUUCUAUUUGGUAAAAAUCUUUUCCACACUACUGCUGUCUUCCAUACAACCAUAAACCAUAAAGGAUGGCCAUUUUUCUAACAAGAAGAAUCAUCAUAUGAAUGCCAAGGGUGAAUUGUACUCAGUGUGAUGUGCUUAAAGCUCACAGCAUGUAGGGCUGAACUGGCCAUUUGUUGACUAGGUGUAGUUAUUCUUAUUCUACAGAUGUGGAUAUGGGCUUAGUAUAGUUUUGUUGCAAAACUAGCAUAGGUCACAAAACAGGUCUGUAACCAACACAAAGCAGACUUCAGCACAACCAGAUGAAUCCUUUUUACAAAUUAAAGAAUAAUUCUAAUUUUGCAAGUAUUACAUUAAGAACUAUUCAUCUUAAAAAUUCAGACAUUGCAGAUGAACCUGGUAAGAUGUUUGGAAGUUGGCUGCUACUGCUGAUCCUGGUUCUUUUCCAAAAGGAAGCCUGUAGUUUACAGUUUUGUAUGUAUCACUUCUCAGAUUUUAAUGUAUACAUGAAUCAUCUAGGGAUUUGGUUGAAAUGCAGAUUCUGACUCAGGAGAUGUGGAAUGGACCUGACCGUUUGCAUUUGGAAUAAACACCCAAGUGAUGCUGAUGCAGCUGGUCCAUGGACCACCCUUUGAGUAUAAGGUCAUAAGGAAUGUAAAAAAACAAGUUUUUCUCCUCUGGCUAACCUGGUGGUGGUGUAGAAGGUCCUGGGAGACCUGGAAGAGCUGAAUUCCAGGGUUCUUUGGGAGAGGAUGCAAAAUGGAACGAAGUUAGAGGUGAAGAAAAAUCUUCUUGGAUCCCCAGCUGGUGACGAUGUUCAUAGCACCCUUUGGGUGUUUUUGUCCGUAAAAACACUGGUCAAGGUUCCCUUGGCCCAUCCUGACAUAAACUGUCCCUUCUUUGCUGUUGUACCCUCCCUUUUCUUAUAGUGCAGUUCUCUGAAUCCAGAGGUGUUCUUUGCAAGAGCCACAUCCUGCACGCUGCCAAGGCUGGCUGGAGUGCUAGCCCAGAAGCUGUGGCUCACCGAAAGCUGCCUCUCUUACUUUCUGGCCGGAAUAAUGCAACAUACAGAAGAGUGUGAAAAUUCAUAUUUUUUAAAGUCUUUGUUAAAAUUUUAAAGAAAUUCUGUUCAGGUGCUGAGAAGCGGUUGGUUGCUCAGUAGAAGGGAAAAGAGGAAUAAACGUUUGCCCCAGAAGCAACCCGGUGGUGCCCCUCUGCUAUCAGUCACCCCUCCAGCCAGCCCCAUGGCCUUCCCACAGCAACAACACACAAGGCCUGCGGGGACUGUACAGUUCACCGAGAGCUUCAUUUUCCCCAGGCGUUUCUCCGCAGCGUUUCCCUGUGCAGGGAGAAGAACUUGGUCCCACUUGAAUGACAACUGGGGUUGCAGAACACGACUUACUUAGUCCCGGGAACUGCAUAAACUGAAAGGACAACCUGGACAGGGCCACAGGUUGCCAGCAGAGGCGUCUAACAGGCCACCAAUGGUGUAUUUGGAUAUUCCCGGGACCAGGUGUCCGGCACAAAGAGGACAGCCGGCAGGGUGGAGGCCGAAGUGAGGCCAUAGGUAGGCCAAGGACGGAGCGGAUGUCCACAGGGCCUCACUGCUGGUGGUCGCUCUGCGUCCAGCAGCGGGAAAAGGUGGAGGAGUCAGUCUUCUGGCGGAACCAGCGAGAAAAGCCCUGUGGCCAGGGCAGGUGAGGCUAGCUGAGGCUCUGGUCCGUCCAAAGCCAGAGAUUCCUGCUUGAGAGCGAGC
ensembl:lncRNA